AGCGACGUAGCUCAGAUGGAAGAGCGUUGGGCUCAUAACCCAAAGGGCAGAAGAUCGAAACUUCUCGUCGCUA
rnacentral:tRNA from 1 species